UCCAGAGGUCCCGAGCGUUGUUCGGAUUCACUGGGCGUAAAGGGUGCGUAGGUGGUGGGGUAAGUCUCGUGUGAAAGCUCGCAGCUUAACUGCGAAAAGUCACGGGAUACUAUUCCGCUGGAGGCUUGGAGGGGGGACUGGAAUACUUGGUGUAGCAGUGAAAUGCGUAGAUAUCAAGUGGAACACCAGUGGCGAAGGCGAGUCCCUGGACAAGACCUGACACUGAGGCACGAAAGCCAGGGGAGCAAACAGG
rnacentral:rRNA from 1 species